GCGUCGGUGGUUCAGUGGUAGAACACUCGCCUGCCACGCGGGUGGCCGGGGUUCGAUUCCCGGCCGACGCA
rnacentral:tRNA from 1 species